GACAGAGGUGCCGAGCGUUAGGCGGAAUCACUGGGCUUAAAGCGUGUGUAGGCGGGCCGUCAAGUGCCUCGUGAAAUCCCGCCGCUCAACGGCGGAACCGCCGGGCAGACUGACGGCCUUGAGGGACCCAGGGGCGAGCGGAACAGGCGGUGGAGCGGUGAAAUGCGCAGAUAUCGGGAGGAACACCAGUAGCGAAGGCGGCUCGCUGGGCCACUCCUGACGCUGAGACGCGAAAGCUAGGGGAGCGAACAGG
rnacentral:rRNA from 1 species